GAUGCAAUUGUUUAGGAGAAGAGUGAAGGAGAAGAGAAGAGAGCCCGAAACUAAACAGGGAGGAAUCCACCAUUUAGAAGUCUGGCAGGCAAAGAGGACAAGGUGUAAUAUCUGGUUGCUGUUGCCAUUCUGCCACCAAGAAACCUGAUGACUUCAUUUGGGCCUCUUCAACCAGCUGCCCCUAAAGCUAGCAAGCUCCACCCUUCAGUGUCCACUGAUAAAUUCCUUAAUAGCAGAGUGUCAAUGAAGACCUCAAAGUCUGGAGAAAAAUGACCUUUCAUGGAAUAAGAAGUAUACCUCCUUCUACAUGUUUUUGUCUUACUGACCUCUGAUAACUGGAACACAUGACUCUGGGUCUGUAGAAAGUCAACUGAUCAAACUCAUCCUCACCAUGCAUCAACUGUUCAGACUGGUUUUGGGACAAAAAGAUCUUUCACGAGCUGGGGACCUCUUCUCCUUAGAUGACUCUGAGAUUGAAGACAGCCUUACAGAAGCUUUGGAGCAAAUUAAGAUAAUUAGCUCAUCUUCAGAUUACCAAACCAAUAACAAUGACCAGG
rnacentral:lncRNA from 1 species